ensembl:lncRNA
CUGCUUAGUUACCUAUUAACUAUGGAACAGUAUUAUAAAGUGUUACCGACCACUAGUAUAUGUCUGCUAAGCUAAACGACUGGCUGCCUAUCAGCUGCAUAUACUCUAACCUGCUGUAGCUUUCUGUGUUUAAAAUACAGAGAAUAUAAAGUUGGUCACAUGUCUGCAUGAUAAUAAAACAGAGUUGGAAAUAAUGGAAAAUGUACUAUUAGCAAAGGUAGAUUAUUGUUUAAAAACUGUUGAAAAAUAAAUCCGGCCUAAAAAUGACUGUACUCUGAUUCACAUGAGAUAUACAAUAUUUUUGUGUAUUGUAGAUUAGUACUACAGUCAUCCAAACCAUGAAAACAUAUGGAAUUAUUUAAUAAACAAAUAUUUAAAAUAUUUUACAUUUUGCUUAGAUGACAGCUUUGCACAUCUUGACUGGAUUUUCUCAGCCAACUUUAUGAGGGGGUCUCCUGGAAUGGUUUUCAGUUAACAGCUGUGCCUUAUCAAGAGUUAAUUACUUGUAUUUCUUGCCCUCUUAAUGAGUUUAAGAGCAUCAGUUGUGUUGUAAAGAGGUAGAUUUGGUAUACAAUAAAUAGACAUGUUUGAGUAUUGUUCUAAUGAAUAUUAUAUAAAUGUAAAAAAAAAAUGACUUGAGAAAUAAAGAUCAGUAAAUCUUGAAUUUUGAACAGUGAGGGUGAUAAUAAUGCUACAAAAUACAGUGGCAACUUUCUGUCAGCCAUUUAAGAAAAAGUUUUUUUCUUUUUCAGGAUGUGAUCUCCUAUUGUGAGCUCCAUAUGGGCAUGAAAGACCCUGAAGUCAUCUAUUGGGACACUGCAUUUCAAAUAAAUAAAAAGAGAUCAACUAUAUCUACAAUUACAGCAAACAAAGACCAAAGUAUGUGCAUUAGGCUACCAUGCACCCAGGGAAGAGUACAGCUGAUAUGGAUGACUCACUCUCCCUCUGUUGCCACACUCCUCUAUUUUUGGAGUUUAUCUCCAGGCUUUUAAACAAACAGCAAAAAAGGAGCGAGGCGCAGAGCAAGGCAUGGCUCUCUACCUUUCUAUCUCCUCCUCAGGCACGUCACAUGGUUGUAUGACUGGCAGUUAGCCCGAGGGCAACAGGUCUGAGGCGAGUGAAAGAGAGAGAGAGAGAGAGAGAGAGAGGGCUAAUUUCACAGACUCAGUUAGCCACUGACCUUCACACGUCUUUGGCUUUCCUUUCAGGGAGCAGGGGUGCUGCCCGCCGCUGUGGCAUACUGCUGGACUAUAAGUAGAAGUUAGAUCGUAUUGUUAACCAAGCUUAGCAGAUAAAGCUCCCUCCCCCCCUCGCAUUAUCUUUCUUAGCCAAUGUUUAUUGAGUAGAACGUGAUACGGCCUGUGUGCAUGUGCCUGCAGAAAAUAGAGCAGCCCGAGCUAAUGUCAGUGGAGGCAGAGGGGGGAGUGCCGCAUGCCAAAGCCUCUUUAACAUUGAGGAUCAAGGUAAUGAGGUUUCAGCUAUACAGCUCUACUCCAGCACACUGACAGUAGAGUAGAAAACACCCUGAUGAUCCUGUAGGUACUACCUGUAUGUGUACAUAUAAACAGUGACAGGCCAAAAGUCAUGUGUGAG